GGGGUUAUAGUUAAAAAUAACAUUUAACUUGCAUUUAAAAAGUACCAAAUAGGUUAACCUCA
rnacentral:tRNA from 1 species